rnacentral:rRNA from 1 species
CGGAGGUAACGCGUGGGUAACCGUGCCUCAUACAGGGGGAUAACGAUGAACGAUUGCUAAUACCGCAUAAGCGCACAGUACCACAUGGUGCAGUGUGAAAAACUCCGGUGGUAUGAGAUGGACCCGCGUCUGAUUAGCUAGUUGGUGAGGUAACGGCCCACCAAGGCAACGAUCAGUAGCCGACCUGAGAGGGUGACCGGCCACAUUGGGACUGAGACACGGCCCAG